UAUGGUUCUUAGAUUAGAUAAGACUACCCGCUGAAUUUAAGCAUAUAACUAAGCGGAGGAAAAGAAACUAACAAGGAUUCCCCUAGUAACGGCGAGUGAAGCGGGAAGAGCUCACCAUGUGAAUCUCUAUAACCAGCAAUGGUAUAGCGAAUUGUGGUCUGGAGAAGUAUUGUCGGCCGUGAAUCCGGGCCAAGUCUCUUGGAAAAGGGCAGCUGAGAGGGUGAAACUCCCGUUCUUGCCUGGAAUCAUUGCGCUCUGGCACAUGCUUUCUACGAGUCGAGUUGUUUGGGAUUACAGCUCAAAGUAUGUCGUAACUUCGAUAUAAAGCUAAAUAUUGGUGGGACACCGAUAGUGUACAAGUACCGUGAGGGAAAGAUGCAAAGAACUUUGAAAAGAGAGUUAAAGAGUACCUGAAAUUGUUAAAAGGGAAGCGAAGGAAACCAGUGUUUGGCGAAUCCAUUCUUCCCAAGCUACUUGUAGUUUGGGCGCUGUGGUUAGCAAUAGUCAGCAUUGGCUUAAUCUGGGUCAAACGUUUGGUGGGUAGGCGGCUCUUCGGAGUUAGUGCCCAUCUUUCAUGCUCUGGAUUGGGCUGAGGUCAGUCACUCUGUGCUCGUGAUGCUGGCAAAAUGGUUUUCUUUACCCCGUCUUGAAACACGGACCAAGGAGUCUAA
rnacentral:rRNA from 1 species